rnacentral:lncRNA from 1 species
GCCGGGCGUGGUGGCGCACGCCUUUAAUCCCAGCCCUCGGGAGGCAGAGGCAGGCGGACUUCUGAGUUUGAGGCCAGCCUGGUCUACAGAGUGAGUUCCAGGACAGCCAGGGCUACACAGAGAAACCCUGUCUCGAAAAACCAAAAAAAAAAAAAAGCGUCUUAAUAUAUAAUCAGGACGCAAGUGUCAUUCACAUCUUUUUGGGUUUUUUUGUUUGUUUGUUUUUUGAGACAGGGUUUCUCUGUGUAGCCCUGGCUGUCCUGGAACUCACUUUGUAGAACAGGCUGGCCUCGAAC